GGCCUAAUUGAGAUAGCUGAGCCCAAAGCAAAGGAACAUGAAGCAGUGUGAAGCUCACUUCGUUCUUCCUCACACUCACUCUCGAGAAUGCACCGAAGAAAAGCCGCACCGGUUCUUCACCGGCGGCGGUGAUUCACAAUCUCCCACGCUCUCACACCUCUGACGUCUCUCUUAACCGAAACGUAACACCUCUCCACCUACACCAAAACGGAAUCUCCAACACGCGACUUCGACAGAACAAUACGAGCGGCGAAUGAAAGAAAGAAGCAGACUCGACCACGAUUCACAUCAGAACAGAUGAAUGGAUAACACGGAAGGAAGAAAUUCCUACCGGCGACGGCAACGGUGGAUCGAAGCUCUUGGAUCUUGAAGCUUUGCCCGAUCCUACAGUUCUUUUCCUGUGUCACUAAUCUCUUUCUUGAGGUCUGGAUUAACGGAGGAUUCGUAGGUGUCGCGCGGUGGUUGAUGGUAAUGCAUCCAAGAACAGGUUCAUAGUCAAACGAAAAGGCUUAUGUGUGCGCAUUGGAAUGGUUUGGCUUAUGCAACUUGGAUGCUAUGGAUUUGGUUUCUUGGACUUGCUUUGGUUUGAAAUGGGAUUUUCUUGGUGAAAGAAAUUGGACAUUGCUUGCAUAUGGAAUGUUAGAGUCUUGAUUAUGUUGUAGUUUAAAUUGAACGAGGAAUGUUAGCCUAUGAUUGUAAUGUAAUUGGAAAUGGAAUUUGUAUGAAAUGUUUGGAAAUUAAAUGCAUUUGAAAUGAAUGCUAUAAUUUUGAA